UACGUAGGGGGGCAAGCGUUUGUCCGGAUUUAUUGGGCGUAAAGAGCGUGUAGGCGGUUUGGUAGGUCCGUUGUGAAAACUCGAGGCUCAACCUCGAGACGCCGAUGGAAACCAUCAGACUAGAGUCCGGAAGAGGAGAGUGGAAUUCCUGGUGUAGCGGUGAAAUGCGCAGAUAUCAGGAGGAACACCGGUGGCGAAGGCGGGUCUCUGGGCAGUAACUGACGCUGAGGAGCGAAAGCGUGGGGAGCGAACAGG
rnacentral:rRNA from 1 species